CCGCCCUUCGGGCGUCGUGUUUUCAUACAAUUUCUCGUUUUCCCAAUUCCACUCGUGUUGAUAUUUAACAAAUAUAAAACAUUUUCCGUGUUGAUAUACAGUUAUAUCAACACGAGUGGAAAUUGGGAAAACGAGAAAUUGUGUGGAAACACGACGCCCGAAGGGCGGAG